GAUGAACGCUGGCGGCGUGCCUAACACAUGCAAGUCGAACGGAACUUUUAUGGAUUGAGACUUCGGUUGAUUGAAGUUUAAGUUUAGUGGCGGACGGGUGAGUAACGCGUGAGUAACCUGCCUUUCACAGGGGGGAUAACGUUUGGAAACGAACGCUAAUACCGCAUAACAUAGCGAGACCGCAUGAUCUUGCUAUCAAAGAUUUUANCGGUGAAAGAUGGACUCGCGUCCGAUUAGAUGGUUGGUGAGGUAACGGCCCACCAAGUCGACGAUCGGUAGCCGGACUGAGAGGUCGAACGGCCACAUUGGAACUGAGAAACGGUCCAGACUCCUACGGGAGGCAGCAGUGGGGAAUAUUGGGGCAAUGGGCGAAAGCCUGACCCAGCGACGCCGCGUGAGGGAAGAAGGUCUUCGGAUUGAAACCUUAGUCAACAGGGAAGAAGCAAGUGACGGUACCUGU
rnacentral:rRNA from 1 species